rnacentral:lncRNA from 1 species
UUUGAAGUAAGUUUCAAAUUAAUAUACACAUUAUAUAUAAACUUGUGAAAAACAACAGCAAUAAUUUGCUUUACGUCGACGGCGUUUUUUUUUGUAAAUGUUACGCAAAAAUAGAAUUGGCAUGCAUUACGUGAAAAUGUCAAGUUUAUAGCUGUGUUCCGGUGGUGCAAAGUGCACUCAAUGAAAUAAAACUCCGCUAAAACAAAACAAUUGAUACUGCUGAUUUGCAAUCAAAACGAAUACAACAAAUAUGGAAACUUGUAUUUCUAGCCCGUCAUACUAAAAAUGUAUCAACUUUAUAAGCACGCACAUUUUUAUGCGCCUUUGAACCAUGUACUACCGGAACGCAGCUGAUAAAUAAAUAGUUACAUAUUUCUGUUGUAAGCUUAGUGUGAAUUUGACAUCUAAAAGCAUUAGUUUAUUUAUAUCUGCGUUUCAAUUCAAUAAAUCAGUAAAUCUAAUUCAAUUUGCAUCCCUCAACGAAAGUACUAAUAAAUUUCCAGCAGUACAAAGCCUCAUUGCAGUCCUCAUUAACAUUUUCCCUUCAAAUAUGUUAAAGCAUUUGACAAUUAACAGAGAAAAUUCCACAUACAUUUGUAGGGGUAAACAUGAACAGUGAACCAAAACAAACUUGUAGAGGCAGAUGUUUUGACUUUGAAAUGACUUAUCUCUUAAACUAUUAAAACUUUUGGAGUCGAAUCUCAAAGUGAGAAAAAAUUCGUUUUGCACCAAAUUUUGUAUGUUCAAUGGUAUUGAGAGGAUGUGGCAGCUUUUUUCACGUUGAUUCGAUUCGCUAUUCUGAAUAAAACACGCCCAGCUUUGCAAAGUCAGCUUCCUCAAACUCCUUGGCAAUAACGACAGCGGAUAUUGGGGCACUCCUUGAUAUUCCAAGCAACUUUACUUUCAGGCUGGGAUGUGCAAAAUUAUUUUUGAGCUUUCCACUACCAACAA